GACGAACGCUGGCGGCGUGCCUAAUACAUGCAAGUAGAACGCUGAAGAGAGGAGCUUGCUCUUCUUGGAUGAGUUGCGAACGGGUGAGUAACGCGUAGGUAACCUGCCUUGUAGCGGGGGAUAACUAUUGGAAACGAUAGCUAAUACCGCAUAACAAUGGAUGACACAUGUCAUUUAUUUGAAAGGGGCAAUUGCUCCACUACAAGAUGGACCUGCGUUGUAUUAGCUAGUAGGUGAGGUAACGGCUCACCUAGGCGACGAUACAUAGCCGACCUGAGAGGGUGAUCGGCCACACUGGGACUGAGACACGGCCCAGACUCCUACGGGAGGCAGCAGUAGGGAAUCUUCGGCAAUGGGGGCAACCCUGACCGAGCAACGCCGCGUGAGUGAAGAAGGGUGUCGGAUCGUAAAGCUCUGUUGUAAGUCAAGAACGAGUGUGAGAGUGGAAAGUUCACACUGUGACGGUAGCUUACCAGAAAGGGACGGCUAACUACGUG
rnacentral:rRNA from 1 species